AACGAACGCUGGCGGCAGGCUUAACACAUGCAAGUCGAACGCACCUUCGGGUGAGUGGCAGACGGGUGAGUAACGCGUGGGAACGUGCCCUUCAGUUCGGAAUAACCCAGGGAAACUUGGGCUAAUACCGGAUACGUGCGAGAGCAGAAAGAUUUGAUCGCUGAAGGAUCGGCCCGCGUCUGAUUAGCUAGUUGGGGGGUAAAGGCCCACCAAGGCGACGAUCAGUAGCUGGUCUGAGAGGAUGAUCAGCCACAUUGGGACUGAGACACGGCCCAAACUCCUACGGGAGGCAGCAGUGGGGAAUAUUGGACAAUGGGCGCAAGCCUGAUCCAGCCAUGCCGCGUGAGUGAUGAAGGCCUUAGGGUUGUAAAGCUCUUUCGUCCGGGACGAUAAUGACGGUACCGGAAGAAGAAGCCCCGGCUAACUUCGUGCCAGCAGCCGCCGUAAUAC
rnacentral:rRNA from 1 species